rnacentral:ncRNA from 1 species
GCAUCCGCCUUUAAGUUAUUAGGAGCCUGUACAGGGAAACCUAUACAGUGGAGAGGGUGAAUUCAAGGAAGCCUCAGCGCGUAAUGGCGGUGGUAAUCUUGAGCCAAGCUCUACAAGCGUGUAGAGAAGGUGCAGAGACUAGAUGGUGCAAUGCGAUCUCAUUGCGGAAUACAUCAUUAGCGCCCUCCACCCAAACAGAUAAUGCUGUGGGUGAAGAUAUAGUCCAGACCACAAACACGGU